rnacentral:rRNA from 1 species
GAAUUUUAUAUAAAUUUUGUAAAGAAAUUAAUAUUUAUUUUAUUAAAUUUAUAUUUUAUUGGGAGGAUAUUUAAAUUAAAUAAACUUUAAAAUUAAAAAAAUCCAUUAGUUUAUGAAUUAUAGUAUAUAGAGUGGCUAGAUAAAGUUUAAUUAGAAUUAAUUACCUUAGGGAUAACAGCGUUAUAUUUUUAGAGAGACCUUAUUAAUAAAAAUGUUUGC